rnacentral:rRNA from 1 species
AAUCAACGCUGGCGGCGUGCCUAACACAUGCAAGUCGUACGAGAAAAUGGGGGCAACUCCAUGAGUACAGUGGCGUACGGGUGAGUAACACGUGACUAACCUACCUUCGAGUGGGGGAUA